UACGGAGGGUGCAAGCGUUACUCGGAAUCACUGGGCGUAAAGAGCGCGUAGGCGGUCGGAUAAGUUAGAGGUGAAAUCCCGAGGCUCAACUUCGGAAUUGCCUCUGAUACUGUUCGGCUAGAGAGUAGUUGCGGUAGGCGGAAUGUAUGGUGUAGCGGUGAAAUGCUUAGAGAUCAUACAGAACACCGAUUGCGAAGGCAGCUUACCAAGCUACUUCUGACGUUGAGGCACGAAAGCGUGGGGAGCAAACAGG
rnacentral:rRNA from 1 species